ACGUCAAGUUGGACUUCAAGUGACUGUCAGAUGAUUUGAUCUUUCACAGUUGUGGGGCCGGGGUGAUUUGUCACCUUCUGAUGACUCUUUUGUUUUACUGCUUGUAAGCU